AAGUCGUAACAAGGUCUCCGUAGGUGAACCUGCGGAGGGAUCAUUAACACAAUAUACAAAGUAGAUCGUUGACUUCAAAAGUCAACUUUCUCACUUUUGUUAUACCAACUCGUGAACGAAACAUUAUGUAUCUCUCGCUUAGCUUUGUGAUAGAAAGCAUAGCUAAGUUAUUGUUUUGUUGUACUUUCUUUAUACAAACUAAUAUCUUCAACAGUAUAACUUGUACCACAUAGAAUGCAUUCUUAGAGUGUAUUUUUAUGGUGUGUUACUUUUAGUUAACAAAAUAAGCACAACUCUUAGCAACGGAUAUCUCGGUUCUC
rnacentral:misc_RNA from 1 species